rnacentral:misc_RNA from 1 species
ACACAUAAACAUCGUUGCGAAUACACGCGUCUUCUCAUCAGGGUGCAGAAUGUGUUUGUAUAAAGUUCGGUGCCGCAUAUAAACAUGCAUAUCAGUACAGUGGUUUGAACAACGAAAUCGAUAUCUCGAGCCCUGAUAAGUCCCGUAAGUUAUCGGAUAAUAGGGGGGGGUUUGUUUCCAAUAUCCGUCCAACCACGAGGCUGGCGAAUGUGACGGGGAAUUGCGGGGAUUCGCAUCGCGUCGCAAUGGUUAAAUAAUUGUAAACAGUCCUUGCCUUAUCCACAGAGCGCUCGCAGCUCGGUGGGGGCGACGAGGAGCGCGAAGCGGACUAGCAGAGUAAGGAAUCAAAUAGUGGAGGGGGAAACGCCGUCAUGGCUGACAUGUGUGGAUUGUGUGGCCCGCAGGCGACGAAGUGAACAGGCGCGAGUGUUCCAGGUCCGUCCGCGUUGAAAACGCGCGUUUGUUAAGUGAAUAUGGAGAAAAAUGGGCCGGGGAUUGAACGUGGAAGUCGCUAGCGACCGACCGGCUGCCAGCCAGGGAGACAGAUGGGCGAAAUCUAACAGGAUGGAGCCCAGGGUGUGGAGAACUCGGCUCCGCGGCGUCGCGGGCAUCUGCCUGGUCUUGGCAUUGACGGGUAUCGUGUAUUUGGGAUACUUCUGCCCAGACCACGUUUGUGCCCUGACCAACCGUGACCUCAAGGAGUCCACGCGUCUCUCUGAGGGUUUCACAUCCGGGGUUGUCGACAGGAACUUCCAGGGUCACCCUUCCUUCAGACUUCAGAGCAUACAGGGCAGUCUCGCCUACGAGGAUGUCAUCAACAACACCUUUCAAUUCGACAUCAAUGCCCACGAUGUUAUGGUCUUUUUACACAUACAGAAAACUGGCGGUACAUUAUUUGGUAAACACCUGGUGCGCGAUUUGGACCUGCAAAGACCGUGCUCGUGUCAUAGGAGGCGAAAACGUUGCUCCUGUUUUCGUCCAAACCGGAACGAGAAUUGGUUAUUUUCCCGGUAUUCAACAGGCUGGAAGUGCGGCCUGCAUGCUGAUUGGACGGAAUUGACGAAUUGCGUUGAUUCAGAAUUAAAUAAGAUAGAACCAGAGGGAGUGAAGAGAAGAUAUUUUUACAUAACAAUCAUCAGAGAUCCGGUAGCGAGAUAUUUGUCGGAGUUCAGACAUGUGCAACGAGGUGCCACGUGGCGAGGAGCAAGACAUUGGUGCGGCGGCAUUCAGGCUAACAUACCUCAAUGUUAUUCCGAGCCAAAUUGGCAAGGAGUUACGUUAGAAGAGUUCAUGCAGUGUCCUCACAACUUGGCAAGUAAUCGUCAGACUCGGAUGCUGGCUGACCUAUCCAUCAUAGGAUGCUACAACUCGACGCUAAAUCGAACUGAGAGAGAUCGUCUCAUGCUUGAAAGUGCCCAGCGUAAUUUAUUAUCCAUGCCGUUCUUCAUGCUUACUGAGUACCAAAAGAGCAGACGGCAUCUCGGCCGUAUUACAAUGAUGACAGAUCGUAAAAUUGGACGCGCCGCCGCUUCGCUUUAUGGAGGUACAUGGAUAGGAGUACAAAAGCUCAAAUUUCAUGCCUCUCUGGAAACUGCCCUACUUUUGAAGGAACGUCUUAUCGCACCCAUCUGUAUGGAGAGUGAAUCGAUGAAACCGUCAUACGAAUCCGUCACACGAGUUCAAUGCAAUUAGAGAAUGCGCCAUGGAAAUGAUUCAGCUGGAGGGAUUGGAUGGGGAUUGGAAAUGCCUGCAACGAGGCGAUGAUCCCACAGUGGUUUUGUCGGGUCGGCUCAGAUUGAACCCUACCAACAACCAUGAAUCCGAAGAUCGUAAAGCCCGACAACGGAAUGCGAUACUAUCGCGUCAAGAUCCGCCCGAGAAACGAGCCGCGUUCCGUAUGCCGCACGUCAUGUCAGUCUCAACGCACUAAACGCUUCGAUUUCGUUCCAACAUCAACGACAAUUACUGAAAAAUGGAGAGUUAAUUUCGCGGUGGAGUUUCUCGUCUCUGUAAGCCUCGAACAAGGACGUCAACUUCACUCUAGUAUAAAUCUGCGAACUACAACCAGCAAGAUAAACAACAGUUUUCUGACUUGACGGCAGAUGCUGUAUAUCGUGCGCCAAUUUUGGAAAAUUCUGUUGGAUUGUGAAUGAGGAUUGCUGAUACCUUGUUUAAGGCAAAUGAAAUAUAUAUAUAUAAAAUUUUUUAUGCUGUGCGGUUGCGCGAAUGAAACUGUUAUAAUAUGUUAUUAAUUGGGGUGGUAAUUUUAUUCGUUUAUUCCGCAGCAAUAUUUAAUUUGCAACAAUAAUAACGUUAAAAAUGUGUGCAACAAUAAAUGAAUAUCGAUUCGUGAAUCGUUUGCUAUUAAUGACGAUUUUAUUCCUUUACUAACGACGUAACAUUAAAUUGACUUUGAGCCAGAUAAUUCGCUGUUAUAUUAUAAUGCAAUGUGAUGGAGUAUUUGAAGUGUAUUCG